rnacentral:rRNA from 1 species
GACGAACGCUGGCGGCGUGCUUAGCACAUGCAAGUCGUACGGUAAGGCCCUUUCGGGGGUACACGAGUGGCGAACGGGUGAGUAACACGUGAGUAACCUGCCCACAACUUUGGGAUAACGCUAGGAAACUGGUGCUAAUACUGGAUAUGUGCUCCUGCUGCAUGGUGGGGGUUGGAAAGCUCCGGCGGUUGUGGAUGGACUCGCGGCCUAUCAGCUUGUUGGUGGGGUAGUGGCCUACCAAGGCGGCGACGGGUAGCCGGCCUGAGAGGGUGACCGGCCACAUUGGGACUGAGAUACGGCCCAGACUCCUACGGGAGGCAGCAGUGGGGAAUAUUGCACAAUGGGCGCAAGCCUGAUGCAGCAACGCCGCGUGCGGGAUGACGGCCUUCGGGUUGUAAACCGCUUUCAGCAGGGACGAAGCUUUUUGUGACGGUACCUGCAGAAGAAGCACCGGCUAACUACGUC